GAUGAAGAACGUAGCGAAAUGCGAUAAGUAAUGUGAAUUGCAGAAUUCAGUGAAUCAUCGAAUCUUUGAACGCACCUUGCGCCCUUUGGCCAUUCCGAAGGGCAUGCCUGUUUGAGUAUCAUGAACACCUCAACUCUUUAUGGUUUUCCAUGAUGAGCUUGGACUCUGGGGGUUUUGCUGGCUCACAGUCGGCUCCUCUAAAAUGAAUCAGCUUACCAGUGUUUGGUGGGUAUCAUGGGUGUGAUAACUAUCUACGCUUGUGGUUUUCCACCAGGGUAACCUUCAGCAGUGGAGGUUCACUGGAGCUUACAAAUGUCUCUCCUCUGUGAGGACAGCCCUUUGAAUGUUUGAUCUCAAAUCAGGUAGGACUACCCGCUGAACUUAAGCAUAUCAAUAAGCGGAGGA
rnacentral:misc_RNA from 1 species